GUGGGGAAUAUUGGGCAAUGGGCGAAAGCCUGACCCAGCAACGCCGCGUGAAGGAAGAAGGUCUUCGGAUUGUAAACUUCUUUUAUGAGGGACGAAGGACGUGACGGUACCUCAUGAAUAAGCCACGGCUAACUACGUGCCAGCAGCCGCGGUAAUACGUAGGUGGCAAGCGUUAUCCGGAUUUACUGGGUGUAAAGGGCGCGUAGGCGGGGAUGCAAGUCAGAUGUGAAAUCUAUGGGCUUAACCCAUAAACUGCAUUUGAAACUGUAUCUCUUGAGUGCUGGAGAGGUAGAUGGAAUUCCUUGUGUAGCGGUGAAAUGCGUAGAUAUAAGGAAGAACACCAGUGGCGAAGGCGAUCUACUGGACAGUAACUGACGCUGAGGCGCGAGAGCGUGGGGAGCAAACAGGAUUAGAAACCCUUGUAGUCC
rnacentral:rRNA from 1 species